AGGCAACUUGGUAAUUGCGUGGAAUUGUUAUUUUUCGUUCUGUGCCAUUUAGUGCAGAGUUUUUGAUUUAAAGUGAAGAGCAAGUGAAAAAAUUUAAAGGUUUCAACGGAUUUAAAUUAUUUAAACGAAGUAUCGGACACUGCCUGUUACGAUUCGGAUAAAAACUGGCUUCGAAAUAACACAGCGCCCCGUGAGGAAGUUUUGCGCCGCUGGAAUGAAACAUUCUUUGUAAGGUAUACAAGGUGUUCUCACAGUCAAGUGUCCCAGUCGAACUGAGAUUAUCGUCAUUACAUAACUUGCAUGUUAUUCAAUGCUAGAGCGAGUCAGUGAGACGCUCUGCGAAUAAAUUAGCGACCAUUCUUCAAGCCUAGAGCAACGUGUGCUCUAUCAACUGUUUUGAGGAGGAAUUUUUAGAUGUGAGGACAGCACUGCGGCGAGAGUCAAACAAAGCACAGCAACCUCCGUCACCACGAAUUCGAAGGAUGUUCAAGAACGAUGAAUCGACUAACAACUAUCGACUUCUAAAUGAAUCAUGAUUGGAAGCUUCAGCGCGCAUUCGGAAACUGUAAUUACGUAAGCAUUUGAACAAGAUAAUGAACCCUCUCUGUACCGUUGAAUUGUUAAAACUACUUACGUUGUGCGGUUAUCUGAGCCAUUUUCAUUUGUUUCUAAAUUGUCUCUCAAAGCUCUGACAAAAACCUGGCCUUCGAAAGGCGCUAAAUUUGUAGUGAAAUAUAAGUUUUUUUACGA